UGGCGGCAUGCCUUACACAUGCAAGUCGAACGGCAGCACGGGAGCAAUCCUGGUGGCGAGUGGCGAACGGGUGAGUAAUAUAUCGGAACGUGCCCAGUCGUGGGGGAUAACGCAGCGAAAGCUGUGCUAAUACCGCAUACGAUCUCUGGAUGAAAGCGGGGGACCUGUAAGGGCCUCGCGCGAUUGGAGCGGCCGAUAUCAGAUUAGCUAGUUGGUGGGGUAAAAGCCCACCAAGGCGACGAUCUGUAGCUGGUCUGAGAGGACGACCAGCCACACUGGAACUGAGACACGGUCCAGACUCCUACGGGAGGCAGCAGUGGGGAAUUUUGGACAAUGGGCGAAAGCCUGAUCCAGCAAUGCCGCGUGCAGGAUGAAGGCCUUCGGGCUGUAAACUGCUUUUGUACGGAACGAAACGGUCUCUUCUAAUAAAGGGGGCUAAUGACGGUACUGUAAGAAUAAGCACCGGCUAACUACGUGCCAGCAGCCGCGGUAAUACGUAGGGUGCGAGCGUUAAUCGGAAUUACUGGGCGUAAAGCGUGCGCAGGCGGUUAUAUAAGACAGAUGUGAAAUCCCCGGGCUCAACCUGGGACCUGCAUUUGUGACUGUAUAGCUAGAGUACGGUAGAGGGGGAUGGAAUUCCGCGUGUAGCAGUGAAAUGCGUAGAUAUGCGGAGGAACACCGAUGGCGAAGGCAAUCCCCUGGACCUGUACUGACGCUCAUGCACGAAAGCGUGGGGAGCAAACAGGAUUAGAUACCCUGGUAGUCCACGCCCUAAACGAUGUCAACUGGUUGUUGGGUCUUCACUGACUCAGUAACGAAGCUAACGCGUGAAGUUGACCGCCUGGGGAGUACGGCCGCA
rnacentral:rRNA from 1 species